ensembl:snRNA U6 U6 spliceosomal RNA
GUACUUGCUUUGGGAGCACUAAUACUAAAAUUGGAAUGAUACAGAGAAGACUAGCAUGGCCUUUAUUUGUGUAAGGAUGGCAUUCAAGUACAAUCUGUAUUU